UUUAAGUUUUAUUCUUGCUUUAGGAAUUUAUUUAAUCUAAGUUGUACAUGUAAGUUUAUGCGGUAUUGUUGCUUUAAGAGUGAAGUAAUGCAGUGUUUAAUUUUAUAAAUUAAGGGAAUUUAGAUUUAGUUAUGGAUUGUUUUAUUGGUAAAAUUCGUGCCAGCUACCGCGGUUAUACGAUGGAUAAAAAUAAAUUUUAUUUGUUUGGAGUUAAUUGAAGUUGGAAGAAAUAAUUAGUGAAUUGUUUGAAGGUGAAAUUUUUAUUUUAUGUUGUUUCUGAUUUAUGAGGCUUUGAAAUUUUUUAGUAAACUAGGAUUAGAUACCCUAUUAUUUGAAAUGUAAAAUGAAGAUAUGAGUAGUAAUAGGUAAGGUCUUGAAACUCAAAGAAUUUGGCGGUGUUUUAGUCUAUUCAGAGGAAUCUGUUCUGUGAUUGAUAAUUCACGAUUGGGUAAACUUAACCUAUAGGAUUUGUAUACCGCCGUCAUCAGAAUAUUUUUGUAGAAUAAUUUCUUAAUACUGGAAUAAGUAUAAUGUCAGGUCAAGGUGCAGUUAAUGGUUAAGGAGUAAUGGAUUACAAUAAAAUUAUUUAUAUGGAUUUGGGUUUUGAAGAUUUAAUGAAGGUGGAUUUGAUAGUAAUUUUUGAUUAGAUUCAAUAAUGAUUUUAGCUCUAGGACAUGCACACAUCGCCCGUCGCUCUCUCUACCUUGAGAGAUAAGUCGUAACAAAGUAGGUGUACUGGAAAGUGUAUCUAGAAUGUC
rnacentral:ncRNA from 1 species